rnacentral:rRNA from 1 species
CAGCCGCGGUAAUACAGAGACCACGAGCGUUAUCCGGAUUUAUUGGGCGUAAAGCGUCCGCAGGUUGUUAUGAAAGUCAUUCGUGAAACCGUUGGGCUUAACCCAACGUGCGCGGGUGAUACUUCAUAGCUAGAGGCCGGGAGAGGCACAUGGAAUUGCUGGUGUAGCGGUAAAAUGCGUUAAUAUCAGCAAGAACACCAAAGGCGAAGGCAGUGUGCUAGAACGGUCCUGACACUCAGGGACGAAAGCGUGGGGAGCGAAUGAGAUUAGAUACCUCAGUAGUCCACGCCCUAAACGAUGAAUGCUAGAUAUCGGGAGUAUCGACCCUCUCGGUGUCGGUUAACCAAGCUAACGCGUUAAGCAUUCCGCCUACGAAGUACGGCCGCAAGGCUAAAACGCAAAGGAAUAGACGGGGACCCGCACAAGCGGUGGAGCAUGUGGUUUAAUUCGACGGUAAGCGAGGAACCUUACCCAGGCUCAACUACUAGCUGCAAGCUCUAUGAAAGUAGAGUUCCUUCGAGGGUGCUAGAUAGGUGCUGCAUGGUUGUCGUCAGCUCGUGCCGUAAGGUGUACCCUUCAGUGGGGUAACGAGCGCAACCCCUAGGCCGUGUUACAAGUGUCACGGCCGACUGCCUUCGUAAGAAGGAGGAAGGCGGGGAUGACGUCAAAUCAGCAUGGCUCUUACGUCUGGGGCGACACACAUGCUACAAUGGUCGGUACAACGGGUUGCCAAACCGCAAGGUGGAGCUAAUCCCUUAAAGCCGACCCCAGUUCGGAUUGAAGUCUGAAACUCGACUUCAUGAAGUCAGAAUCGCUAGUAACGGCGCAUCAGCCACGGCGCCGUGAAUACGUUCUCGGGUCUUGU